UGUUGUGACCUUUCUAUUGAAUUUAUUUUUAUUUAAUGUUGGGCUGCAAUUUUUUUCUGGUUUCUGCCAAUAGCAAUUUUCUUGCUAGCUUACUGAUUUCUAUAGUGGAGAGUAGUCUUCAUGUUUGGAGAGUAGCAGCUUGGACGCUUUGUAGUCAUACCCUAUAAUAUAGGAAUACACCCACAAUACUAUGAAAAAUAGAUAUUUUAUGUUAAUUUCUACAAAUUUUUUAAUGCUUUGAAUAUUGAAAAAAGUCAAUUUGCUGCUAUGGAACAAGAGAACAGGUUUUUGCAAAAUCAAAUUUAGGUUGCUGGGCCACUAAACUCUCCACUUUUGUGAAUUGUUUUUGUAUUUCUUAUCUUGUUUUGCUUCUUCCAAUAAAAAAAAAGUUCUCCACUUUGAGUUCGAUCUUAUCACAAAUAGAAUAUACAGACUGUAUAUAUUCCCUUCCAGUUUUGCAUCCAGAUACCUUGUUACUCUGUAAUUCCCCUUCUGUUUUCUUUCACCACAUUCAGAAAAACUUUCAGAAUGCAUCCUCUUCCAUGUGCGUUGACAAUUUUUGGUCUGUUCUUCCGGUGGGCUUAUGAUCUGGCCAUAGAUAUGCUUACUGAAUCACGGAUAUGAUUUGUAUGGAAACAGCUAUCUAGUCGUUAGGAUGCACCACAUCAUAAAUUAUGAUGUAUGAAGAUAACUUAUGCAUUGGUGCAUCCUAAGCAUUGAAUAAUACUUCCCAUUUAUAUGAUAAUCACAGAUCUGAUCUGAUCUUCUUUUCUUUUUUCCUUCAUUUCAAGAGAGCAAUCUAUUUUGUUUAGAAGUUUUGGAGUCUGAAGAAAGGUAAUGGCAGAGGAAAUCAUGUAAUUCAUUUUUAAAGUUUUAGAGUCUGAAGAAAGGUAAUGGCAGAGGAAUUCAUGUAAUUCAUUUUUAAAGUGCAGGAGUUUUUUAUGAAGUGGGUAUUGCUGUAUGUGAUCAUAUUGUAAGAUAUUAUUUGGGUAACUGGCUAAUAAGCCAAUCUUGAAAUUGUAUAGCCGAUUUCCUUUUUGGAUU